GAUGAACGCUGGCGGCGUGCCUAAUACAUGCAAGUCGAGCGAACAGACGAGGAGCUUGCUCCUCUGACGUUAGCGGCGGACGGGUGAGUAACACGUGGAGAAUUGACCUAUAAGACUGGGAUAACUUCGGGAAACCGGAGCUAAUACCGGAUAAUAUAUUGAACCGCAUGGUUCAAUAGUGAACGACGGUUUUGCUGUCACUUAUAGAUGGAUCCGCGCCGCAUUAGCUAGUUGGUAAGGUAACGGCUUACCAAGGCAACGAUGCGUAGCCGACCUGAGAGGGUGAUCGGCCACACUGGAACUGAGACACGGUCCAGACUCCUACGGGAGGCAGCAGUAGGGAAUCUUCCGCAAUGGGCGAAAGCUUGACGGAGCAACGCCGCGUGUGUGAUGAAGGUCUUCGGAUCGUAAAACUCUGUUAUUAGGGAAGAACACAUGUGUAAGUACCUAUGCACGUCUUGACGGUACCUAAUCAGAAAGCCACGGCUAACUACGUG
rnacentral:rRNA from 1 species